rnacentral:tRNA from 1 species
GGCCUCGUAGCUCAGUUGGCUAGAGCGUUGGCUGUACUAAAGCCUUCCUCUUGCUGGCGUGGGUUCGAAUCCCACCGAGGCCG